rnacentral:rRNA from 1 species
AUGAACGCUAGCGACAGGCUUAACACAUGCAAGUCGAGGGGUAACAGGGUAGCAAUACCGCUGACGACCGGCGCACGGGUGAGUAACGCGUAUGCAACCUGCCUAUAACUGGGGAAUAGCUCCCUGAAAGGGGGAAUUAACACCGCAUAAUACUAUUGAUUCGCAUGGAUUAGUAGUUAAAUGUAGCGAUACAGGUUAUAGAUGGGCAUGCGUGACAUUAGCUAGUUGGUGAGGUAACGGCUCACCAAGGCUACGAUGUCUAGGGGUUCUGAGAGGAAGGUCCCCCACGCUGGUACUGAGACACGGACCAGACUCCUACGGGAGGCAGCAGUGAGGAAUAUUGGUCAAUGGGCGCAAGCCUGAACCAGCCAUGUCGCGUGCAGGAAGACUGCCCCUAUGGGUUGUAAACUGCUUUUAUAGUAGAAGAAACACAUCUACGUGUAGAUGUCUGCUAGUAUACUAUGAGUAAGCAUCGGCUAACUCCGUGCCAGCAGCAGC